rnacentral:rRNA from 1 species
GACGAACGCUGGCGGCGUGCUUAACACAUGCAAGUCGAACGGAAAGGCCCUGCUUUUGUGGGGUGCUCGAGUGGCGAACGGGUGAGUAACACGUGAGUAACCUGCCCUUGACUUUGGGAUAACUUCAGGAAACUGGGGCUAAUACCGGAUAGGAGCUCCUGCUGCAUGGUGGGGGUUGGAAAGUUUCGGCGGUUGGGGAUGGACUCGCGGCUUAUCAGCUUGUUGGUGGGGUAGUGGCUUACCAAGGCUUUGACGCGUAGCCGGCCUGAGAGGGUGACCGGCCACAUUGGGACUGAGAUACGGCCCAGACUCCUACGGGAGGCAGCAGUGGGGAAUAUUGCACAAUGGGCGGAAGCCUGAUGCAGCAACGCCGCGUGCGGGACGACGGACUUCGGGUUGUAAACCGCUUUCGCCUGUGACGAAGCGUGAGUGACGGUAAUGGGUAAAGAAGCACCGGCUAACUACGUG